AGAGGUUUUGACCUGGCUCAGGACGAACGCUGGCGGCGUGCUUAACACAUGCAAGUCGAACGGAAAGGCCCUGCUUUUGUGGGGUGCUCGAGUGGCGAACGGGUGAGUAACACGUGAGUAACCUGCCCUUGACUUUGGGAUAACUUCAGGAAACUGGGGCUAAUACCGGAUAGGAGCUCCUGCUGCAUGGUGGGGGUUGGAAAGUUUCGGCGGUUGGGGAUGGACUCGCGGCUUAUCAGCUUGUUGGUGGGGUAGUGGCUUACCAAGGCUUUGACGGGUAGCCGGCCUGAGAGGGUGACCGGCCACAUUGGGACUGAGAUACGGCCCAGACUCCUACGGGAGGCAGCAGUGGGGAAUAUUGCACAAUGGGCGGAAGCCUGAUGCAGCAACGCCGCGUGCGGGAUGACGGCCUUCGGGUUGUAAACCGCUUUCGCCUGUGACGAAGCGUGAGUGACGGUAAUGGGUAAAGAAGCACCGGCUA
rnacentral:rRNA from 1 species